AAAGAUGGCUUCGGCUGUCACUUACAGAUGGACCCGCGGCGCAUUAUCUAGUUGGUGAGGUAACGGCUCACCAAGGCGACGAUGCGUAGCCGACCUGAGAGGGUGAUCGGCCACACUGGGACUGAGACACGGCCCACACUCCUACGGGAGGCAGCAGUAGGGAAUCUUCCGCAAUGGACGAAAGUCUGACGGAGCAACGCCGCGUGAGUGAUGAAGGUUUUCGGAUCGUAAAGCUCUGUUGUUAGGGAAGAACAAGUGCCGU
rnacentral:rRNA from 1 species